GAUGAACGCUGGCGGCGUGCCUAAUACAUGCAAGUCGAGCGAACAGACGAGGAGCUUGCUCCUUUGACGUUAGCGGCGGACGGGUGAGUAACACGUGGAUAACCUACCUAUAAGACUGGGAUAACUUCGGGAAACCGGAGCUAAUACCGGAUAACAUGUUGAACCGCAUGGUUCAACAGUGAAAGACGGUUUUGCUGUCACUUAUAGAUGGAUCCGCGCCGCAUUAGCUAGUUGGUAAGGUAACGGCUUACCAAGGCAACGAUGCGUAGCCGACCUGAGAGGGGGAUCGGCCACACAGGAGCUGAGACACGGUCCAGACUCCUACGGGAGGCAGCAGUAGGGAAGCUACCGCAAGGGGCGAAAGCCUGACGGAGCGACGCCGCGUGAGUGAAGAAGGUCUUCGGAUCGUAAAACGCUGUUAUUAGGGAAGAACAAAUGUGUAAGUAACUAUGCACGUCUUGACGGUACCGAAACAGAAAGCCACGGCUAACUACGU
rnacentral:rRNA from 1 species